UACGUAGGGUGCGAGCGUUGUCCGGAAUUACUGGGCGUAAAGAGCUCGUAGGUGGUUUGUCGCGUUGUUCGUGAAAACUCACAGCUCAACUGUGGGCGUGCGGGCGAUACGGGCAGACUGGAGUACUGCAGAGGAGACUGGAAUUCCUGGUGUAGCGGUGGAAUGCGCAGAUAUCAGGAGGAACACCGGUGGCGAAGGCGGGUCUCUGGGCAGUAACUGACGCUGAGGAGCGAAAGCGUGGGGAGCGAACAGG
rnacentral:rRNA from 1 species